rfam:Gossypium arboreum cultivar AKA8401 contig_25878_3, whole genome shotgun sequence.
UAAUAAAAAAAUUACCCAUUUCAACUAUUAAAAAUUGGCGUAGCUAACGAAAAACUAAACAUUUGCAUGUAGCAUGCCAUGUGUACCUCAUGUUGGUGUACUAGGACAAGUUCUUAAUGGUAAGAAUUGAUGAAAUUUUUAAUA